AGUGAACGCUGGCGGUAGGCCUAACACAUGCAAGUCGAACGGCAGCACAGUAAGAGCUUGCUCUUACGGGUGGCGAGUGGCGGACGGGUGAGGAAUACAUCGGAAUCUUCUUUUUCGUGGGGGAUAACGUAGGGAAACUUACGCUAAUACCGCAUACGACGUACGUGUGAAAGCAGGGGAGCUUCGGAACUUUCGUGAUUGGAUGAGCCGAUGUCGGAUUAGCUAGUUGGCGGGGUAAAGGCCCACCAAGGCGACGGUCCGUAGCUGGUCUGAGAGGAUGAUCAGCCACACUGGAACUGAGACACGGUCCAGACUCCUACGGGAGGCAGCAGUGGGGAAUAUUGGACAAUGGGCGCAAGCCUGAUCCAGCCAUACCGCGUGGGUGAAGAAGGCCUUCGGGUUGUAAAGCCCUUUUGUUGGGAAAGAAAAGCAGCAGGUUAAUACCCCGCUGUUCUGACGGUACCCAAAGAAUAAGCGCCGGCUAACUUCGUG
rnacentral:rRNA from 1 species